rnacentral:lncRNA from 1 species
AGCAAACAGGGAAGUUUUGUCUAUAUAGCGGUGUUUGUACAAACGUGAUCAUUUUAUUGUUCUUUGCUCUAAUAUCAUUUUAUAAAAAUUAAUAAGAAAUAAAACAACUGCUGAAACUAAAAUGAUAGGAAGCAUAUGUCUCAAACUUAAUACUAUAAAGACCAUAUUAGAAAUCUGAAGCAUGACAAAAAUGUAACUCUCUGGCCUCAACUGACUAGUCAUGGAUCCUACUACAUUCUUUCUGCAUAUUGAACCAACCUUCUGGGGAGACAGUGGACCUACCAGACACCUACCGGACUGCAACAAUUGUUUCACGUGAUCUUUCAGACGAGAGCAAAUGUCUUCCUAAAUAGAAAAAAAGUUCAGGAAGUCAUUUUCAUAAAGAGUUUUAAUAAAGAGUAAACUAAAAAUUAUGAUACAUAAUUAGAUUUGAUGUCAAACACAAGAUCAUCACAUGGGAGCAUCACCUCUUUUACAAGAGAAUGGAGACCCCCAACCCAAUAAGGAAAAGCCACCAGGAUCCACUCUUCUCCAGUCAUCCAAGAAGGGCUACUGUCCAAGUCCAACUAACUUCAAUGUUACCCUAUGUUUGGCCAAAACUAACUUUAAAAUAAAAUAAAAUAAAAAUUUAUGAAGC